CGCAGACACAGAAACCAGCACAACCACAGGCAUUGAAAUAUAGGGACCCACAAAAUCCACAACAACUAAAUGCGUUUCCAACAUUCGGUGAUUUAGUGGAUGGGACCGGUCAAAAUGGUAAUUAUAAUUAUAAUGUCAAUCAGGC